UCAAAGAAAGUUGGUAACAACAGUUGUCCUACAAAAGAUGGAGGGAAACAAGUUGGACAACUCCCUGCACUAACCUUAAUGCCAAAUGAGAGAGGUUUAAUUGGACAGGGAAUUAAGGCAGGACCAUUCAAUUAGAAGAUCGCAUGGAUGUAGCAUGUAGGGUGCUCAGCCAUGUUGCACAGGUGUAUUCUGUGCAACGAUAACCCGUGUGUCAUUUCUGGAAGUGAUGCUUUGCUCUAAAUCAUCUUUUAUUAUUCUGCAAAUAGAGUAACUUUGAUGAACCCAUUGCCUUGCAAGAAAUGGACACAAGUAAUGGAGUGUUGCUUCCUUUCUAUGACUCUGACUCCAACGUUGUCUACCUCUGUGGAAAGGGUGACAGCAGUAUACGUUACUUUGAGAUAACAGCCGAGGCCCCGUUUGUUCACUACCUAAGCACUUACAGCAGUAAGGAGCCUCAAAGAGGAAUGGGAUUCAUGCCAAAGAGGGGUUUGGAUGUCAGUAAAUGUGAAAUAGCCAGGUUUUCAAGCUACAUGAAAGGAAAUGUGAGCCGAUUGUCAUGACCGUGCCACGAAAGUCAGACCUCUUCCAGGAUGAUUUGUAUCCAGACACACCCGGACCUGAACCGGCACUUGAGGCUGAGGAAUGGUUUUCAGGACAAGACGCAGAUCCUAUUCUUGUAUCUCUUAGGGACGGUUAUACCCCCUUAAAGAACAGGGAGUUGAAAGUCAACAAGAAAAACAUUCUAGAUAACAAGCCUCCAACUGGACCACGAAGAAGUUACUCAUCUUGCGAUGCUGGUUUUCUGUAAGUCUGCAGUGUGUGUAAUCCAGCAGUGUCAUCCUCCUUUUAUUAUUCAUAAAAUAUUCUGUCAUACAAAAUAAAGAGAUAUUUGUUUAAUGGGGCAUUAAAAUUAGUUUAAUGGCGCCUCUAAACACAAUUGGCUCUGUUCAGUGGGGCCUUACAAAGAGAAUGGGCAGUGGUUUAUCUAGAGAGAGACGAGAUCCUCUGCACGCACCCAUUAUCAAAAUAUAUAGGGUAUUAAGACAUUCUGUGCAUUAAGCUACUAAGAAAUACCCUCCCCUUUAAGCAAAACAGGGAUUGUUUGUCCAUAUAUUGCAAUAUACUUUAACCUGACCAACUACAUCAGCCAUCCCUGGUCUGGUCAGUCCUAUACUCACUUUUAUCUGAUUCAUUAAGAAUCCUAUUGCUUCAUUACACAUUUUGCACAUUGACUGAGUUUUACCUGCAACUUACAUGCUUUCUGGGUUACUUAAGGAUUUCUUUGUAGCUGAAAGCACAGAAUGGGAUAAUGUCCUAUAUAUACUGAUAAUGAGUGCUGAGGCCCUCUUGUCUCUGUCUAAUUUAGAGGUGUGCACAACUUUCCCUUUUUUGCUAUAGAAACUGGUUUAUAGUCCAUGCCAGGCUAUAUGAUCCCAAACCUGCUGUAGAUCUGUAGCAUUAUCUCAGCCUAAACUGGCCAGGUUCACAUGAAUAGGCAUUGCCGUUUUGCUAUACAUUCCUACAUGGUCUGUAAAAGUAAAGAGGGCACUUUAUAGUUAUAAAAACGAAAAGAAGUAACUUAAGUAGCUUUAAAUACAUACAUGUUCUAUUCACUGAAUUCUGUGUUACUCCUUUGACACCGUGUUUCCCUUGAGGAUCUACUAGAAGAAAUCAAGAGCUUGAGAGCCACAGUUGAGUCCCAGGAGAAACGUAUCUCCGACCUAGAAAACCUGCUGCUUGAACUUUCCAAUGGCACAGCUUGAGGCAAAAAAGCCUAAGGUCAGCCCAGCUGGUUCAGAAUGCACUAGAAGAAACCUCUUGUCCUCCCCUCCUAAGAAGUACACCCUGAUCAUGCUCUCCAGGGGGGUAGGAGCCAUUACAGGGACUCCAAAAGGACAUCCCCAACUAAUACUCUUGCUCCAAAGAAGCUUCAUUGUAGAUGUGCCUCCAGGGGCCUUUGCUUGGGGCUACCUUUUAUCCAAAGGAACAAAAUGACAGAAGAAAAGUUUAAAAGCACUUAAGCAUUUAUCUGCAGCAUCCACACGACGAGAGGCCAGUGCUUUACAUGAUGGAGGGGAGACUGAGCAGUCUGGACUGAGCAAAACUAAAACCACAUUUGUAUGCAAGCCCCCACCACCAAGCCAUGUUUCUUGGACCUAGUAGUGACACUGUAUUAGAAGCACAUACAGUUCUAUUUUUUUUCCUUGCUGGUCUUAUUCCGUUUUUCUUAUUUAAGUUAGCGCUGCUGUAUAAUCACACGUAGGAACAAUGAAAGGGCACAGGAGAUUGACUGAGGGGGUUACAGUUUUAUUGUUAGCCAAUACCCAAAGGUUUGUAGGUUUUUAUGGCUGUAUGGUGUCUUUAUACAGCAGUAUAAUGUAUCCAGAUGUUUGUGCAUUGGAAUUAUAAAGCUGCCUAUCUAUGCAGGCUGCCAGUUAGCAAUUUCUUUUUGCAUUGCUGCACAGAUUAAUGCGGGUCCGGCUGCAGAGUGUCUACACUGAUUUGCUGUGCAUUAUUUAUGGAGGUUGUGGAACGUGGAGCCAAAUCCUUACUACUCACUUCAUCCUUAGAAUAAUAACAGUUAAAAAAAUUGCAGAAGUUUGUGCCUAUUCUAGUAACCCAUAGCAACCACUCAGCAGGCCAGUAUAUGGUGACUGGUUGCUAUGGGACACUAGAAUGAGAGCAAACCUGGCACAGCUGUUGUAUUAACCUUCAAAUAUUAAUUGCAGUAGUGCUUCAGAAAUUGUUGUUCCGUUGCUUUGCACAAUUACAGAUGUCUAGGUACAGGGACAGGCUACUGUAUGAAGAGCUACAGCUUAAAGGGAUACUUUCAUCAGAAUAAACCAUCUUUAUAUAAUAUUA